rnacentral:lncRNA from 1 species
GCAUGUAACUGUGAAUUUAUUAUGCAAGCAGCUAUGAAAAUGACUGUCUUCAGCACAAAAUGAUUGAAUGUCAUUAAGAAGAGUGAAUCCAAGGGAAAUAUCAGGUGGAGAAAGCUUUCCUGAAGUGUCUUGGCGAAAGAGCAAGGGCAGCUAUGAGAGCAAGUUUUGGUGCUAUUUCAAGCUCUAUUCCAUGCCAAAUCCUAAAAGUGCAAGGACCAGUCUUGAAGAGCAGAGUUUGUGGGAACGUUACCCCAGGAUCCUUGGUUCUGAAAACAUUUCAUGAAGAACUUCCCAGAUAACGUCUUGUCAGCCAUAGAUGAAGAACCAACUUAAAUGGCAUGAAAAUGUGCCUAAAUUAAACUCUGUUUGACCUCCAACCUUCCUUCCCGAAGCAGAUCUUAGCUCUUCACAGAGGGCAUAAUUUCUGGAAACACUAGAGUUUUCACAUAGAUAACCCUGUUAGAAGACAGAGUAUCACAGGGUCAGGACACCCUGAAAAUCAACUCGUCUAUCGCUCUUCCUCACUGGAUCUAAGUUCUUCAGGCUGUUCUUAAACAACUCUGAUUAUAGCGAUGGCAUUUUCCUCAGAUUACAUGUUCCAGCAUUUAUUUCCCUUGGUGGUAGAAAUUCUAACCUGAGUCUCCGUUGCUUCAUUUUAAGCCCCAGACUUAGACCACCACUGAUGUGGGAACAGAAAUUUCCCUUCCUGCUUUGGACAACCUUCUGUGGUAUGGAAGAUUUAGAUCACCUCUCCUGUCUGCAGUUUGUUCAGCCCUUCCUCCCACGCCAGCUUCCUGCCAGUUCACUUUUCCACCUGCUCUCUCCCAGCCAACUUUUGGCUGGUUGCUCCACAUUUUUUGAAGUGUGAUUUGCAGAACGCCAGCUGGGUGUGAGACCUUCUUAGUGGAUAGGUGGCCUUGAGCAAUGAAGAUGCGUGUGCUUUUUUUUUUAAAGUUGUGUUCUCACAUAUCAUGAUAUCACUGUUUUACCUUUAGGUUAUGAUCCGUUCUAAAUUCUGUGUACUUCACUCCAUUAUUCCUGUUGACGAUAACACUAAAUAAAGAGAGGUCCCAACCAGACUCCA